AGAUAGCAGACCCUACACUGGCUGAGAUGGGGAAGAACUUGAAGGAGGCCAUGAAGAUGUUGGAGCACAGUCAGAGGUGAGCGUGGGGCGUCAUUGACCCUAGGAAACGUGCUCAGCCUGUUGUGAAGCUGGUGGCACUGGUUUCCUGCCGGCAAAAACUCCUCUCGGUUUCAGAAUGUCACGCGUAGUUGAGCUUCACCUGACUGGAAAGACGGUGUUCGUCUUGGGUAGAAGGUACUUUGUAAUGAAAGGAUUUUGAAAUUGAGGGGCAGGACUUAGCAUUUUCAGUUCUGCCUCUUAAGAGUUUCAUUUACUUAAUAUAUUGAUUUGAAUCUAUAAAUACUUUUUACUGUAUAUUUAUAUCCUAGAGGGCAUCGGCUAACCAAGAAAUGGGUUAAAAAGUGUCAUUUUUUUUCAUGUUCUUUUCCUGAGAUUCGGCCUGUACCCCCAACUGGGGGCUAGGGUGAUAGGGGUAGGAGAAGAGAUGUGAUAAGUGUGUUUCAAAUCCUGUAUCAGUUACCAAGAGGUUACAGGCAGCAUUGUCACCUGUUGGCCUGUUCAGAUGUUAGCAAUUUGGUGACAUCGUUUUUUAUUUCCUUUAAAUUAGAAGAACAGAGGAGGAAAAUGGAAAGAAGCUGGUAUCAGGAGAUAUUCCGGGGCCACUCCAAGGCAGGUAGGUGGCAGUGAAGGUGCCUACUUUUAGUUAGGGUAUGUGUUUUCUUUAAACCAAGAUUUUACAAACCAUUGUUGGUUUAUAAUUUUAGUUGUGAUAAGCACAGAGCAAAUUGAGCGUCCUGUGCAGUGUAACACCAGGAAAACAGACUGCCAUUGGUUGGUUGGUGAGAAAUCUACCUGCUUCUUCCCCUUUCCCAUUCAGGAUCUAAUUUAAUUUAAUUUCCCAUUCAGAAUUAACAACCUCAUGACUCAAAAGUGAAUGCACAAGUUUGUAACUAUAACUCGACUACCAUACUUAGUUCCUCCUUGAAACCCAUUAUCUAUUCAGUAGACUGAGCUUUGUGGUGAGAGAUACUUUAAUUUGAUAAGAUUUAUUAUUUGUAUAAUAAAGUAAAAUGAAAAUGUCAACUUUGAUCAUUUGUUGGCAGAGUGAUUUCUUUUUUUGGCAACUAAAACCAAUCUGUCAAGCGUGUGUGGUUUAAGCUAGCAGGGAAAAUAACAGGAAAAAUAAGUAGCCGUGUAACUAGAAUUUUCACAGGAUGUUAGCACUCAGUGUGGACUUAAAGUCCCAGGCCCGCUUCCCUCAAACAAGCUUGUUUCUUCUGUUGUUUUAUAACCAGGAAACUGCACAUAGGUAAACAGUACAACUCCCUUAAAUUGUCCUUUGACCUGAGUAUGAAUAUAUACGAGGUUGCAAAAGGAAAGUUUGGAGGAAAGACACAAUGUGUCAUUAGGUGUCAUAUCUGACACACCCAGGUACUAAUAUUUUGAGACAGGCGCUCCUGUGGGUUGCCUGAAUGGUGCCGAUUUGAAGCCCUCUAGCUGUAAGGUAGGUUCUGCAGCUGAGAGUGGGAGCCAAAUCCUGUCAGUCCUCUCCACCCAGAGCUGUGGAUGGGAAUGAAAGUGUUCUAUUAAGCCCACAGAAGUUUCCCUAGAAGAGAUACUACCAAGAACAUCUGUAAUGCUCCAAAUGGGAGGGCAUUAAAGCAACAGGUCAGGAGCUUUCACACUUAAUAUAAUAAUGCCAACGUCUGAGAUAGCGCUUGGCUAGGCACAGCAUUAAACGUUUUUCAUCCACUGAUUGCAUCCUCACGGUUCCAUAAUGUAGGGUCUGAGGGAGUUCAACGGCUUGCUCAAGGUCACUUGGUGGGCCCCCACUCCCCACACAAGUGUCCAAGGACCAGAGCCCCUGUCACAUGAGGGUCAGCACCUUGGUUUUGGCCUUGUUUUGGCGGUGCUUUUGAAAAAGAGAACUUGGUAUUAGUUCUCACUGAUUGGUCCAGUCCCAUUAAUGGAAUGAUAAUGUCUUUUCGUUAGAGUUACUGCAAGUCGCCUUGCCAUUGCUUUACUGCUUUAGCCAUUGACGUUCUUCGCAUUAGUUUUCAGACAGUCACGUAAUAAGCACUUAAUGUCAUAUCUGGGAAGUAAACCUGUUUAUACCGUAAGCAGAUCUCAGAUCUCUAGUUUCCCUGCUUGAGGAAGAGGUAAUAAAUGAUGUUCGCGUUACAUGUUUCAGUUGGUUAGAACAGACAGGACUCCUGCGUGGAAGAAAACUAGCCAUACCAGUGGCAUUGGAGUAUGGCUGCUGCUUUUGUGACCUUCCAGCAUCUCAAAAGGACUAUUUUGGUUCCUAUAACAUGCUUUUUAAAUACUCUUCUUGGAUUCGAAUGAACAGGUAGACAAAUAUUGCUAAUGCAAUCCUGGUGAAAUUUUGAGAACUCAGUCUCCCAUUUGGAUAGAAGACUUAAAUACCUGGUUAUAUUGGGAAUUCAGUUAAUAAGAGGUUUGUUUUUAAAAGCUGUGUCCUGUAUCUCAAACACGUUCUUUCUCCUCUAGCUCCUCAAUUAAAAAACAAAACAGAAAACACAACUUGCCACAGCUUGUUUAAAUGAAGGAAAUAGAGUGGUGGGGAUGUGAGCUGUUUCCACCUGUCUGUCAACUCUCUUUUGAUUCUGCAGUGGACAGGAUAUGGUGAGCAUCCUCCAGCUCGUUCAGAAUCUGAUGCACGGAGAGGAAGAGGAGGAGUCCCAGAGCCCCCGGUAACGGACACCAGUUGGCAGCUUCUCUCUGAAAGUAUAUGUGACCUUGACUUUGGGAGUGACUGCGUUCUGACCAGUUGCUGAAAUAGCUGUGCUUCAUUCACAGUCACACGUGAUAUUAAAACGAUGUCCGUUUUUUCUCUUCUCAGCGAGACAUUUAAUAUAUGUUGGGUAACAUAUUUCGUAAAAGGAAGGCAUUUAUGAAAACGAAAUCCUGUAGCUUAUAUGGCAUCGUUUCCCAGAGAGGGGCUGGCGGAGGGACCAGAGAAUAACUGCUGUGUGCGUGUCUGCUUCCGGUUGCUUCUGCUGAUGUGCUGCGGCUCCUGACCGCUAACAGGUGCCACAGCUCAAUCUGUUGGUGGCAGGGCCCUGUCGUCUGUGAAACCUCCGUUUAUUUUUUUUCAUCUAGCUUAGCUCCCUAUUUAGUUUCAUGUUUAAUUGUUUUAAAUUUAAUUUUUUCUGGAGUAAGUCAUUCUCCUUUUUCAAAUAUCAGAAGCUACAAAGAGUACAGAAAGGCAGUUUUCAGUCAGCGAUGUGACGGCACGUAUUAGCCGAAUCCAGAGUUGAUGUAAAUUCUAAAAUGACAGUGACCUUGAAUGAAAAGGGGGUAUUUCCUUCGUACUCUUCCUCCCCAGCUUCUUGUUCUCCUUAGAGACAGCGGCCUUGCCAGCUUCUUGUGUACUCUUCAGAGAUACUCUGUGUGUACGUAUACACAAGCCGAGUGUCUGCACUCCCUCCAGGACGUAAACGCCGUUUGGUGUUGUGCACCUUGCUUUCGUCAUCUAUGUCUCGGGGUUCACUGUAUAUCAGUGCCCAAGGAGCACUCUCCUGGAAGAGCUGCUUCGUUUUACUUUGGAUGAGUGAACGGUGUUUUAUGUAACUAGUCGCCUGUUCAUGUUCCCUGUUGCAAACGUUGCUGCGGCCGGUGACUUUGUACGUGUGUCCUUUAUCAUACCAGCAAGUGUUUCUGGAGAUGAAAGUCCUGAAAGUGGGAUUUCUGGGCCAGGUAGGCUGUGUGUCUGUAAUUUGGAUAGCUCCUGCCGAGUGUCCCUCCGUGGAAUUAGGCCAGGUUACCGUCCCACCAGCAGUACGUGAGAAUAGCUCUUUCCCCACACCUUUGCCUGCAAGGCUGUUUGUAGACUUAAGGACCAUUGCCAGUCUGCAAGGUGAGAAAUGGUAUUUCAGCAUAAUUUCAGUUUGCAUUUUUCUCAUGAAUCAGGUUAAGUGGCUUUUUUAUAUGUUUUAAAAACCAUUUAUAUUUCCUUUGCUAUGAACUAUCUCCUUUGCCCAGUAUCCUGUCUAAUUUUUUGGUCUUUUUCUUACUGAUUUACAGUUACUUUUUAUAAGGGACGGUAUUCCAUCCAUUUUAAUGAUACAUAAAACAUACCUGGUUCCCUUGAAUUUGCUGUACUGUUUUAAGUAGCUGUUGAAUGCAGGGAAUUGACUUCAUCUAAUGAUUCUUUAAAAAAAUUAAUUUCUGCACAUUUUGUCUCAGCUCUACACGCCAUAGUUCUUAUAGCAGGCAUUUGCUGUUUUAAAAAAUGGGGGAUAAAACUAUUCACAGUUUGUAUAUGUAGUAGAUAUUCAGUAAAAUCUUCCUUAGAUCAUCAUUACUUUUUACGCAUUGAAUUUUCUGAACUUAUCUGGAUUUCUGCCUUCUAGGCCAUUAGGUGGAUUUCAAGUCUGACAGAUUUCUGUAGAAAUGCCAUAUCUCUAGGUUUUGUCUUACUCCUUUAUUCAUAUUUUGACUAACACUUUAAUAUAAUUGAUUUUGAUUAACAGAAUCCAGAAUAUUGGAGAACAAGGUCAUAUAGCUUUGUUGGGGCAUAGUCUGGGAGCUUAUAUUUCAACUCUGGACAAAGAGAAGCUCAGAAAACUCACAACUAGGAUACUAUCAGACACUACUUUGUGGCUGUGCAGGAUUUUCAGGUAAGGACAUAUAUGAGUUGGGUACAGACUGUUUCCUGGAGCUCUGCUGCCUGAGUUCAUGUAGGCCUUUUCCCCUCCCUCUUGGAAGGCUUGCAUUUAAAAAAAAAAAAAUCUGUGUGCCUCAGUUUCCCCAGCUGGUCAAUGGGGGUAACGUCAGUAUCUGUUUCAUGGCGUAGUUAGGAGGAAUAAAUGAGUGAAAGAACUAAAGGGCAGGAAAGUGGUCGCAGGUAUUUUUAAUCAAAGGAUUAGCUUCUCCUUUAGUAGAAGGAAAAUGCUGCCAUAAGGAAGUUGAGUAUGUGUUACGAAAUUGAAUGCUUUAUGCUGUGCGAAAUAUCACACUUUAUGCUGUGAUAAUGUUGGCAUUAUUAAGGAGUUAUAGCACGUAAGGAUUCAGUAGAAGACACAGGACCAGUGGUAUUUUGGGGCUUAUGCUGUUACUUUUUUUUUUUUAAUGUUUGUUUAUUUUUGGAGGGGAGAAGGGAGAGGGGGAACGGGCAGAAAGAGGGAGACAGAGGAUCCAAAGUGGGGCUUGAACCUCACAAGCCGUGAGAUCACGACCUGAGCCGAAGUCGGGUGCUUAACCGACUGAGCCACCCAGGUGCCACUGUGCUGUUGCUCUUAAGGAAAAGGAAUGUUUGCCUAACACUGGAAAAUUUAACUUGACAGACUCCCUUUCAGAUGUUGGAAAACAGCUUGGCCAAGCAAGAGUUUAAGUUUGCCUAACUGAAUCGCAAAGGAGAGAUUUUCUUCUAAUAAAAAUCUGCCACCCGUAAUUGAAAUUCCCUCUCCUUACUUUUCUGGAAGAUGGAGAAGAAUAAUUUGCCCCAGGCAGACAAUAGUAAAAGCAAAAGUUAGGCUGACUAGCAGCUUUCACCUUUUUCUUUACUUGGAAUGUCUUUGGACUGAAACUGCUGAGGACCUUGCCUGCGUUAUCCAGUGCUGGCCUUCUUGUAGAGUAAGCUGAAACCGUGAUCUCUGGCCUUUUUGUAUCAAAGGGACUCCUAUUCUCUGCUGCUUUUUUUCAUAGUUUCUGCUCUUUUUGGAGUAUGGACAAAGGGUGAUUGCCUCCAUUCUUUAUAACCUCCAGCUGUUAAGGUGUGGUUAGCUAUCUAGGAUGAGGGCGAUCCCUAUCUCCUUUGGGUGCUCUAGGUGAAAAUUCCUAGACUAAGAAAAGAAUUACUCCCAAGACUAAAAUGAGGAUGUAAAACUGUCUCUUACCAGAGACAAGAACACACCGAGAGAUGGCUCUCUCUUCACAGGUAUGAAAAUGGCUGCGCUUAUUUCCACGAAGAGGAAAGGGAAGGACUGGCAAAGAUCUGUAGGCUCGCUCUUCACUCUUGUUACGAAGACUUCGUAGUGGACGGCUUCAACGUGCUGUAUAACAAGAAGCCUGUUAUAUACCUUAGUGCUGCUGCUAGGCCUGGCCUGGGCCAGUACCUUUGUAACCAGGUAAUACGGGGUAAGGUGGACAUGUGAAAGAAAUGGUGUUCCUCUCUGUUCUGGAACUUUAUAAAGUGCAUAGGCCCAUUUCUUUAGCCGUGGUUCUUUUCAUUUGAAAAGAAACAAUAUGCUUGUUUGGCAAUAUAAGAAAAUACGUAAAUAGAUGUUAAUGAAUUGUCAGAGGUGUGUACGUGUGUGUAUUGCUUAGUUGCCCAAAGGCAACCACAGUUAACAUUUUUCUUCCCCAGAUUUUAAUCAGAGGGUGUGUGGAUGUGUUUCUACAAGGUUAUGUUUGGCUUUUUUCACUUAGUGUUAUAACAGGUGCAUAUCCUGUUUUAACAGUUCUUCAAAGUACAGUUUAUUUUUAAUAUCUUCAUAAUAGUCGUUCAAGUCACUGUAUAGUGUUUUAGCCGACUGUUUCCCUUUUGGACAGUUAGAGCAUUUGCAUUCUUUUGUUUUCUGUGACCAUUUUCAGGAAGUGCUCUUUGCAUAGUGUUAGGGACUUUUUUAUGCAUAUAGCUUUUUCUUUAUUUAGAAAUUUCUAUAUUUAGAAAGUACUUUCUAGAUUAUAUUCCUUAGAUAGAUUUUCAGAGUCUGUCUAGAAUUACUAGAUCAAAGAGCAUUACCAUUUUUGACGCUCAUGGGACGUCAUUACGCUCAUUGACAUGUAGCCCAGUUAGGGGGCUAUAAAAAAAACAUUCAGCCUCUUGGCCGAGAAUGUUUUAGUUUUGUUUUUGGGUGUUUUUUGUUUUGUUCUUUUAUUGAGAGAGUGAGAGAGAGAGCGAGCACAGGACAGGGUAAGCGGAGGAAGGGCAGAGAGAGAGGGUGAGAGAAAGAAUUCAAAGCAGGCUCAGCGCUGUCAGCAUGGAGCCCAACCAGGGCUCAAACCCACGGACCAUAAGAUCGUGACCUGAGCAGAAAUCAAGGGUCAGACGCUUAACCAACUGAGCCGCCAGGGGCCCUGUGAGGGUUUAUCUUUUGUAAGAUGAAGGAGUCCUGUGGAGAUCGGUGGGGGAAACUCAGGGACUUCAGCUGAUUUUGAGCUGUGGUCACUGGCAGCAGGAAAUGACAUCUUCUUUUUGAGUGUGCACAGAAUGGAGAGAUUUACAGUGUCCUUACAGAAACCUGGAACAAAUUACUUACUGAGUACCUACUACAGGCCAGGUUCUUCUAGACCCACAGCUGCCUUGUCCCAGCAGUCCCGUCUUCAAAAGCUGUAUGGGGGGCAGGGGUGCGCCUGGCUGACUCAGUCAGAAGGGCACGCAACUGACUUUUCAUGUUGAGGUUGUGAGUUCGGGCCGCAUGUUGGGCAUUGAGCUUACUUCACUUUUUAUUUUUACUUUUUUUUAAUGUUUAUUUUUGAGAGAGAGAGAGAGACAGAGUGCGAGUGGGGGAGGGGCAGAGAGCAAGGGAGACACAGAAUCCAAAACAGGCUCCAGGCUCCGAGCUGUCAGCACAGAACCCGACGUGGGGCUCAAACUCACAAACCGUGAGAUCAUGACUUGAGCCAAAGUUGGACGCUUAAUCGACUGAGCCACCCGGGCACCCCAUAAAGCUUACUUUUUUAAAAAAUGUAUAUUUUUCAUUCCUAAAAAAAUAUAUACGAAUACUUAGAAAAUGUUUAGAACGUUUUAUACUAACAGUAGCUAAUUGUUGGCUUAUGGGGUGGGAGGGCAUUUUCACUUUUAAUUUCUUUUUUUUUUUAAUGUGUGUUUUACUCGGGUUUCCUUUCCUCAUAAUUUAAAAGAAGAAUUUUUAAGGAGGGAGAAGGUGUGCAUAAAGUGUUCGUUAAAUGUUUGGUCUCUAAAUGGUGCUACCAAGUCUUAGUUACAGAACAAUAUGCUGCAACUGUUUAAAAAUUCCUGAAAAAUUCCUCAAAAUUCCUCAAUUCCUCAAAAUUCCUCAAAAUUCCUCAAAGCUGAAAAUAAAGAAUAUAAAAUGUAUUUGACAGUUACUAUCUCCAUUCAUAACACUGACUUCACUCCUUUUAAGACGUGUACAUCUGCUAAUCCAUAUUUGUUGCUUGUUAAGAGUGGGUGGAUCCAUAAAUAAGAUACUGUUCUUUGAAUGCCUUUAGCUGGUGUUAUUUACCACUAAUGCUCAGAGGAAGGAUCCUAAAUUAUCUCCCAGAAUGCUCAAAGCUUGGUUGUUCCUUAGUUUGGAAAAGUGAUUUUAUUUUUUGUUAUAUUCUAGAAUAUAACAAAGAUAGUUACCCAUUUAGCUGACUCAGAGAAUUUUACAUUGUCUGUGUCUUCUUUUUAAAAUUUUUUUUUUCAACGUUUAUUUAUUUUUGGGACAGAGAGAGACAGAGCAUGAACGGGAGAGGGGCAGAGAGAGAGGGAGACACAGAAUCAGAAACAGGCUCCAGGCUCCGAGCCAUCAGCCCAGAGCCCGACGCGGGGCUCGAACUCACGGACCGCGAGAUCGUGACCUGGCUGAAGUCGGACGCUUAACCGACUGCGCCACCCAGGCGCCCCUUGUCUGUGUCUUCUUACAAGAACCUCAGCUGCUAGAAAUUUUAGCUUGACUUUCUAGAUAUACUUUAACACAUAUUUAUAAUAUCAGGAAUUCCUAACAAGCGAGAUUGUUUAAAAAGAGUAAUUGUGACUUGUCUUGGGGCCAUAGUCUUUAGGGGACAUAAGUGGAUGGUGACAAGGAUCUUGAUUACAGAAUUGUGUGUUUCUUUGGCAGCUCGGCUUGCCCUUCCCCUGCCUGUGCCGCGUGCCCUGUAACACUAUGUUUGGAUCCCAGCACCAGAUGGUGAGUUCUCCCUUCGGUUUGUAGGAUAAUACAGAAUUGUGUUUUGAAACGGUGUCUUCUUCCUUUCAACUGAGGUUCUGUUUGCUGGCCUCCACAUAAUUAUUAGUUUAUUCGUUUAUUGCUUGUAUCUUCCCAUUGCUUAAUCCAUGCUUCUGGGUUUGAAAGUCCGCGAGGGCUGGAUGGCAUAUAGGUCAGGAACACCUGCCUCCUCAGGAAUCUUGUCAUUACUGUAUCACCUGAUUUAAGUAGAAACAUGGGAGUCCAGAUGAGCGCCAUAAAUUUCUUCUAAAGUUCAUCCUUUUAAAGGUUGUCACUGUUGCCUGGAUUUGUAAAUGGGCAGAUUUAGAAGAUGAGGUUCUUUAUUGUAAUGUGGGAUUGGAAUUGGAUUCUGCGUAUUUUUAGGCCUUCCCAUACUGAAGACAGAAGCAAAAAGGACAGGUUUUAGGGUCCUGUGUUUCUUUUUCCAAGGUACCUUGAUUAUCUGGUUCAGAUACAUCAGUGAGUAACAUCGAAGAUAGAUUUUUGGGUACAAAUGGGGACUUGAGAGAACAUUUUCUUUAAACCUUAGUGUUUAAAACUAGAGAAACAUUCAUCCUGUAUGUAUACAGUUUUUGACUUUAAUCUCAUUUAACUGUUUUUUGUAGUUAGUCUUCAAGGGAAACUGUUUGAUUUUCAUCUCCCUGAUUAGAUAAAAUGGAAAAAUGGUCAAGAAUAAGAAUUUUAUUUGUGUGGUUAUUUUGAGAGUCCUUUGUUUUUGUUGAAAGUUAUAAGUUCUUAUUGUACAGCUUUAUGCCCGUUGCUUCAUGUUUCUGUGAUUUGCCUUUCAAUCUAGGAUGUUGCCUUCUUGGAGAAACUGAUUAAAGAGGAUCUAGAACGAGGAAAACUGCCCCUUUUGCUUGUAGCGAAUGCCGGUAGGUAUCGUGAACGGAAUCUGCCAUUUGGAUGUAUAAGAGAAAGACAAGGUACUUAGCCUAAAAAAAAAACCUGAGUUUUGAGAAAUGUUUGUCUGCCUCGUGUUUAAGGUAGUUUGUGUCAGCAUCGUGGUGAGAAUUAGAACACGGCCCUCAGCUCCUCGCAUCCCCUUCAGUUGUUGGUUUGUUGGGGAUUUACUCUGUUGGUGUGUAUGCUUUUUCAUUUAGGCUGUAAGUACUUCUCUUGCAUGUGCUUCCUUUCUGAAUCGCAUCUUAAAAUGUCACGCUUGAAGGUCCACCUCGCAUGCAGCAGUUCAGCUCCCACUUUCUGCUCAGCUUCCCAUUAUCGAAUUCAGCAUUAUACUUGAAGUUUGAGGCAGUGCAUCAGGGAAGAAAAAUCAUUAAGUGACAACACCUAUUAGAAAGAAUAAACUGUUUUUACUUGCAGACGGCAUGGUUAUACAGAUAGAAAGUCCUAAGGAAACUAAAGAAAGGCAAAUUGAUCUGGAGUGCAGGAUUUCUGUGUACCAGCAAUGUACAAUUGAAAUUGAAUUAAAAAUGCCAGUCACAGGGGCACCUGGGUGGCUCAGUCGGUUGGGCGUCCAACUUCGGCUCAGGUCAUGAUCUCGCGGUCUGUGGGUUCGAGCCCCGCGUCGGGUUCUGUGCUGACAGCUCGGAGCCUGGAGCCUGUUUCAGAUUCUGUGUCUCCCUCUCUCUCAGACCCUCUCCCGUUCAUGCUCUGUCUCUCUCUGUCUCAAAAAUAAAUAAACGUUAAAAAAAAAAUUUUUUUUAAAAAUGCCAGUCAGAAUAGCAUCAAAAAAGUGAAAACUUUAUGGUUAAAUUGAACAAAAAUCAGCUAUAAAUGGUUUAUAGACCCAAACCUUGCAAAAGGACCACUUGCAUCGGUUGGGUCUGUUGAGGCAGUUGGUUGGGAUUUGGAAGCUUACUGGGUGGGGUUCUGCUAACUGGAAGUUUAAGACAGGAGAAUGCACGAGUUCAGGUUUUACUCAUGCUCUGUGAAGAGGUACUUCCCUACCCAACCUGUAGUGUAUACAUACUUAAGGGGUGGGUUAAAGUGUUCAGUAUGUUUAAGCCAACUUCAAAAUGCAUGUUCUGUUUUAAAACAAAGGACUUUUCAUACUAGGUUUAAAAAAAACCCACAAAUUUAUCUCUGUGUAUAAUGGACACACCUAAAUUAAAAUAACCCAGGGGUACCUGGGUGGCCCAGUCGAUUAAGCGUCAACUUAGGCUCAGGUCAGGAUCUCACGGUUUGUGAGUUUGGGCCCCAUACCAGUCUCUCUGCUGUCAGCACGGAGCCUGCUUGGAAUCCUGCUUGGGAUCCUGUCUCCCUCUCUCUGCCCCUCCCCGGCUCUCUGACUCACGCUGUCUCAAAAAUAAACAUUUUUUUUUUUUAAUGGUGGUUAAUUAAAAAAUUAACAACCCAGUGGGGCCCCUGGAUGGCUCAGUCGGUUAAGCAUCUGACUUACGGCUCAGGUUGUGAUCUCACGGUUCGUGGGUUCGAGCCCCGCGGAAGUCUUUGUGCUGACAGCUCGAAGCCUGGAGCCUGCUUCAGAUUCUGUUUCUCCCUCUCUCUGCACCUCCCCUGCUCGUGCUCGUUCACUCUCACUCUCUCACUCACUCUCUCUCUCUCUCUCUCUCUCUGUCAAAAAUAAAUAAACGUUAAAAACAUUUUUUUAAAUAAAAAACAUUAAUAACCCAGAAAUGACAAAAAGCAAACAUGGAAAAGGGUAUCUUGGGCAAAUGGUGACAGAAUGAAAGUACUAUAGUGGUGUUCGUGUGAGAUAAGGUAGACUCCACGCUAAUUAAAAUUCGUGUAAUCCGCUAAGGCACAGUAAUUAAGAAAGCUUAUGAACAUAUCUGAAAUGUAUAAAGGAAGACUAAAGGAAAAAUAGAUAGGCUACAAGUAUAAAUUGACAAACCCACAAUCUUGGUGAGAGACUUUAAUAUGUUUCCCCAGAAACAACAUUAAGUGGAUGGAAAACAAGUAUAUGGAGAUUUUAAGUAACAAAAUUAACAAGCCUGAUUUUAUAGAUACAUAAAAUGGAGAACAUGCAUGCUUCAGACCUUGAAAGAUCAACUUGUAACAGUUGGUUUUAAGCCAGCUCACGUACACAAUCUCAAUAAAACAGAUACAGUGUUACUUCCUUCUUAGAUAACGUAUUUAUAAGCUUUUAUCCUGCCGUAAGGGCUCAAAGUAUUCCUUUCAGUAUCGUUUUUUGUGUGUUUUAUCCUAGGAACCGCGGCAGUAGGGCACACAGAUAAGAUUGGGCGUUUGAAAGAACUCUGCGAGCAGUAUGGCAUAUGGCUGCACGUGGAGGGGUGAGUGCAGGGCGGGGGUGGCUCCAUGUUGGGCCUGCACCCAGUGCUUGUGAAAGAGUGGCCGUCUGUCCAGGCUCUUACUUUGUUGUAACGAUUAUCAUUAUUGCGAAGGGCUCUUUGGGUUGCGUUGUAAAGAUAACAAAACACCCCAAAGUGGUGUCAGCAAGAAGAAAUUGUAUUGGCUCCCAUAACAAUGAGCCACCAUCUCCCCCCCCCCAUCCCCACUUGGCCUGAUUUUCUCCAUGUUGCCUCCAUCUAUAGAUAACAUUUUCCUAUUUUGGUACAGAAUAGUUGCAGUGGCUCCAGUUUGCUUUCCAGUUUGUGUUCUGAGGGUCAUAAGUCCCGACAAACACCUCCUACUGAGCCAAUUGCCGUGGCCAGGGAAUUGUAACUCGCCUGCGGUUCGGGUCAUUUGCCCACCCCUGGAGCAGAUGGUGGCGUCUCGUCCCCCGAGGCUGUGGUCUGAUAGAGGAGAUUGGGGUCGUUCCCCAGAAGGACCUAGGGGAGGAUACCCGGCAGCCACGGUGGUCCGUACUCAGCAGGCCAUGCGGGCCGGGUUUUCAUUUGAUCUCUCUGGCAAAGAGUGAUGACAGGAAAAUAAUAGCUACGAAAGAUAUAAAACAAGACAUAAGACACGUAAAGUGCAGUUUCAAGGUUUUGCCGAAAUUUGUACACACAACAUUUUCUCUUGUUGUUUUAAAAGCUUAUCACCCAGCUGAAAGACCCUUAAAUGUCAGAUUGGAACAGCACCUCCUUUUUUUUUCUUUUUCUUUCUUUUUUUUUUUUUUUUUUUUUUUUUGUUUAAGUGUACUUAGGGAAUAAGCAGCAAUAAAUAAUUAGUGUUGUGGUUUUUUCUUCCAGUGUGAAUCUGGCAACAUUGGCCCUAGGUUAUGUCUCCUCGUCAGUGUUGGUAUGUUAUGAUUUACUAAAUACUGUGUUUUUAAGAAGGAAUUACAAUGACCUAAUCCCUGAUGACUUCCCAUGAUUUUUAUGAAUUGAGGGGGGUGCUGGCUUUCGUGUACUCUGAUGGUCUGUAACAAAACCUUGUUUUCUUCGUUAGGCUGCAACCAAGUGUGACAGCAUGACAUUGACUCCGGGCCCGUGGCUGGGUUUGCCGGCCGUCCCUGCAGUCACCCUUUAUAAACACGAUGAUCCUGCCUUGGUAAGCUCACUCUCACUGGGAGGGAGUGGGGAGAGGCUAAUAGUCAGCAUGGAGUCUGGGAGCAAAAUACGGAAAAAGUAGAAAUAUCCUUGAUGCUAUUUCUGUGACUUUUUUUGAUCAAAAAACCCCUGUUCUUAACACAAGUGGAAGUACUGAAUACAUUUAUUCUGUUCUCUCCCUUUGCCUCCGUGUGUACAAAGAACUUUUUAUGACCUUUUAUGACUCUGUAAUAUUCUGCCUUUUAAAGACUACAAUUUUAAUCUUCCUUUGUUUCCAAACUUUGUUACUAACAUAGUGAGCAUCAUUCUGUCUUUCAAAUUACUUCCUUAGAAUAGGCUCCCUGAAGCGCUGUUAGUAUUGAGAGUAGUUAAAGCUCUUGAUCCCCAUUGUCUAGAAGGUUUUAAUACAUAGUUUUUUUUAAGUGGUUCUUGAUAGUGGAUCAGUUCAGUGAUUCUUACUAAAACAGCUACCGUCUUUCUAGGUCGAUAUCGGCCAGGUGUUUGAGGACACUCAGAACAGCCGUGGAAGGGGCUACCUCUUGGGGGCCUGAGGGCUCUGGCCCAUCUGGAUUCUCCGCCUGGCUUUGCCACACCUUAGCCAUGAAUCCUUGAAAGCCAGGUCUCGGUGCUAGGCUGCCUAGAAUACUCCCCUCACAAGACUGUUAGACAGACGGAUGUUUAGUGUAAGCCAAGUGCCUGGCGUAGCAUCUGACGCAUACAAAGUGCAUGGGAAUAUGCCAACCAGUUACGUCAGCUGUGUGACUUCAUCGGCUUCGGUUAACAAACCCAUAUUGGCUUUUUCAGACUUUAGUUGCCGGUCUUACAUCAAACAAGCCAGCAGACAAGCUCCGUGCCCUGCCGCUGUGGUUGUCUUUACAGUACUUGGGGCUUGAUGGGAUUGUGGAGAGGAUUAAGCACGCCUGCCAGCUGGUGAGUAGAAGCCUGCAGUUUAAAUGAGUCACAGAUACUCCAUGGCGAAGGCAGAGACAGAAAACUGCCUCGUUGCCUUACUCAUCAUCCAAUACCGUGUUGUCUGGAUUUCGCAUCUCCUGAGCAAGCUGACCUGAAGUGCACAUUCGCCGUUGGAAGUUCUGGGGGAGACUGCUGGGGUGUCCCAUCGUUAGUGGCCGGAUGAAAUCAGAUUAGAUGAAUGCUCGUGUCAUUGUAGGAUGAGGAAAGAAGUGAUAGGAUGAGAGCCAAGGAGCGGAGAAGGAGCAAAAGUGGGGCGGAGGGGGGUAGUUAACAUGGCCCCCAGCCGGCUGUCUCUUGAAGGGGGAAGGAAAUAUGGCGGCCUUAGGGGUGGGGAUGGAUGGCUUGCGUAUUUUUAAUACCAGCUGUCUUGGGCUCCCAAAUGGCAAGGCUCUAGAGAUGCUUCUAACUCUCCUUCUGUAUGAGGUGUUCUAAUUGUGAAAGUAUAUGUAUAAUUAUGCUACAGUUUAGAAAGCAAAAAAGAGGUCACGUUUAUGCAGUUUGCGAGCUGCGUCCUACCUGAGUCUGAGAGCACGGCGUCGCCUCUCUGUAAGUCCGUUCGCUUACCUGGGAGACAGGGGUGAUGUGAAAGAUGGUUAGGCCUUCGUGAGCUUGUGCAUGCGGAGCUCUUGGAGUGUUGCCUGGUCACAUGCGGAUGGGUUUAAGAAUAAACCUUGGUCUGCAACGUGUUCUGUGGAAUCGGUACUUCCUCUAGUGUCAUUUUUACAGUGAGGAAAAAUCCGUGUUUUUGUGUUGCGGUGGCAGCUGCCUCUUGGUUCAUCAUGUCAGGAUGGUCCCUCCUGACGCUAGUUUCUGAUGCAAUAGGGACAUUCUGAAGGAAGUAGUUUCAUUGUCACAUGAGGUAAUGUUGAGGUCUGUGUCAUUAUGUUUCCAAAGCACGUUUCUGAAAAGUUUCCUCACUGGGCCGUCGGCUCCCAUGUCGAAGUUUGGUUGUUCAGAAGGAGAGGCCUUUAUUGCCCCGGUAACUUAGUCACUUUGGGGAAGGUUCGGGCCCUCGGGGGAGAGCCCUUCAAUUCCCUUUGGCCUCCGGAGGGCAGGGAGAUAAUGAGACAUUCUCUGGCAAACCCUCAAGGCCGCCGCAGCUCUGUCUGCCUGCAGGCACACGGAGCGGUUCUCAGUCCUGCCGAGGACCUCAGUGACAUCCUGUCGCUGACCCUGUAGUGGGAACUGCAGGGAAAUGUAGCCCGUGUGGCUGUCACCAGGUGCCGGGUUCCCUGGGGGCGGAAGUCAGGCUCCUCCUCCUCCUCCUCCUCCUCCUCUUCCUCCUCUUCCUCCUCCUCCGCUUCCUCUCUUCAUCAUCAUCAUCGUCGUCGUCUUCAUCCUCCGGGGAGGCCAUCAGGACUCAUUUUCUCUGCAGCCACCUCGGUGCCCUGCGCACGCACCACCUCAUUUGAACCUCACCGAGGUGGAAAGUCCGCUGAUAACACACCAACAAGUAGUGUUCAUGAGGGGUUUUCCAGCGUCCCACACUCAGUAAGCGUUGGAGGGAUGAACCCCGAACCCCUGAAGUACACGUUCUUUUAUCCCUGUGGCAGUGAUGAGAGGUCUGGGGCUGGGACGCUUCUAGAACGGUGAGGACGGAAGUCCUCACGUGCAUGCUGCCCUCCAGAGACCCCUUCCCGGCGCUUGCCAUAACCACCCUGUCAGAUAGCUGCUGCCCUCCCCGUCUUAUAACUGAGGGACCUGAAGCCCAGAGAGGCUAAAUGACUUGUCCAAGGUCAUAGCUAGUAAGUGGCAGAUGAACUUAACUCAUCGUCCUACAAGUGGGGUAUUGAACUCCGGUUUGGUUAUUCCAGACCUCGUGUUCCAAAUAGUCGUAAUAAUGCUGUGUUCUCUCACCUUUUCUUUUCCUUCCCCAGAAUCAGGUACUGUGCCUGGCACACAUGUGCACUCAGUAGUUUGGGUGGGGUUUUUUGAGCUAUAAUUAACAUAUUAGUGUCAGGUAUACAGCAUAAUGAUUCAAUAUUUGCAUAUAUUGGGAAAUGAUUGCCACAAGUACGAGUGUAGUUAACACACAUCACUAUACAUCAUUACAGAAUUUUUUAUUUUAAGUAGGCUCCACACCCAGUGUGGGGCUUGAAGUCACAACCCUGAGAUUGAGUCGCACACUCUACCAACUGAGGCAGCCAGGUGCCCCUGGAAAUUUGUAUCUUUAAACCACCUUGGGGCGCCUGGGUUGGUCGGUUGAGCGUUGGACUUCAGCUCAGGUCAUGAUUUCACGGUUCGUGGAUUCAAGUCCCACGUCAGGCUCUGUGCUGACAGCUCAGAGCCUGGAGCCUGCUUUGGAUUCUCUGUGUCCCUCUUUCUCUGCCCCUCCCCACUUGCGCUCUUUGUCUCUCUGCCUCUCUCUCUCUCCUUCUAAAAAUAAACAACGUUAAACAAAAAUUUAAGUCACCUUUAUUACCCAUUUCUCCCAGCUCCCAACCCCUGCCUCUGGCAACCACCAAUCUGUUCUGUGUAUUUAUGAGUUGCAUGUUUUGUUUUGUUUUGUUUUUCUUUAGAUCCCACAUGUAAGACAAAUCAUACCAUUGUCACAGAUGGCAAGAUUUUAUUCCUUUUUUAUGGUGAAUAAUAUUUCAUUGUGUAUGUAUGUUACAUGCUGUAUAUUUUCUUUUAUUCAGCCAUUGAUGGACACUUAGGUUGUUUGUUUAUCUUGGCACUUGUAAAAAAAUGCUGUCAUGAUGGUGAGGGUGCAGAUAACUUUUCAAAUUGGUGUUUUUGCUUUCUUUGGAUGAAUACCCAGAAGUAGAAUUGCUGAAUCAUAGGGUAGUUCUAUUUUUAAUUUUUGGGGGAGCCUCCAUACUGGUUUUCCAUAGUGGCUGCACCAGUUUGCAUUCCUACCAACAGGGUACAAGGGUUCCCUUUUCUCCACAUCCUCACCAACAUUUGUUAUUUCUUUUCAGCCGUUCUCACAGGUGUGAGGUGAUAUCUCAUUGUGUGAUUGAUUUGUGUUUCCCUGAUGAUGAGUGAUGUUGAGCAUCUUUUCAUGUACCUGUUGGCCAUCUCGGAUGUCUUCUUUGGAGAAAAGUCUGUUCAUGUCUUCUGCCCAUUUUUUAAAUCAGAUUUUGGGUUUUUUUGCUUGCAUCAUAUAUAUUUUGGAUAUUAAUCCCCUUAUCAGAUAAAUUGUCUGCAAAUUUGUCCUCCCAUUCAGUAGGCUGCCUUUUCAUUUUGUUGAUAGCUUCCUUUGCCGUGCAGAACCUUUUCAGUUUGAUGUGGUCCCACUGGUUUCUUUUUGCUUUUGUUGCCAGUUACUCAGUUUUUGAACGAGAGAAUGGCUUAUGUUGCUAGUAUGACAAAUUCACAUACGUCUCAUUAGAAACCGCUUUUCUGGGGGCGCCUGGGUGGCUCAGUCGGUUAGGCGUCCGACUUUGGCCCAGGUCAUGAUCUCACCUCCGUGAGUUCGAGCCCCGCGUUGGGCUCUGUGCUGACAGUGCAGAGCCUGGAGCCUGUUUCAGAUUCUGUGUCUCCCUCUCUCUCUCUGACCCCCCCCCCUCGCAUUCAUGCUCUGUCUGUCUCUGUCUCAAAAAUAAAUAAACGUUAAAAAAAAAAAAUUAAAAAAAAGAAAGAAACCGCUUUUCUGGAAGCCCCAAAUGUAACUUUCAACUGAAAUCAUCAGGGAAUAUUUGCGGUUCUGGAAAAGCAAGAAUUGGCACCCUAACUCAGGAGCCAUCGAGUGACAGAUGGCUUUAUCGGCCUGAGAUCUUUGUCUGCAGGCCUGCAAAAACCAUCAUGGAAACCAUGUUUCAAUAUGUUGUGUCAAUCUAAUGGAUAUCAUUAAUCUAAUGAAGUUAUAACCCAAGUAAUUAUUAAAUAAAUACAUAUAAUCUAAUGAAAUUAUAAAAAUUAGAAGCUAUUUUUUGUCUUUUUUGCAGAGUCAACGGUUACAAGAGAGUUUGAAGAAAGUGAACCACAUCAAAAUCUUGGUACAGUAUAUAUGAUUUGAUCCAUUUUUGAAGUUAAUAACUUAACGUCAGUGACUUGGAAUGAUCUCCAGAUUGGGUGCAUCUCAGUGGAAUUGUGACAGCUCCAGUAAAACCACAUUCUUCAGAACAGAUUCACGCACCAAUGACCUAACUCUACAGAGAGCACAAAUCUAGAGAUUUGUACCAUAUGCUGAACCCCUGUGGUGCUUUUCAUACAAUCGUGUGUAGUUUUGUUCUGUUAAAAUUUAGAAUUGCACAAAAAUCUAACAAACCCCAUUGACUUCCUCUGCCCAGUGAUUUUAGAACAUUCAUAUUACUGAAAUGAAAAGUCAUUUUGUCUCUCAUAGUGUUUGGGGCAACUUUUUCUGAAACCUUCUGACACCAGAGUUUUCAUUUGCACAGAUUGGGGAAUAAGGAAGAGAUCAAGUGGCCUUGUUUUUUAUUCCCCCAGUAUCCUCCUCAAAUAUGCCAGAAUCUAUCAGACAUUGCUGCUUAAGGGCAGUUAUUAGACCCAGGACGUGAGGAUUAAGCAGGGCUAAUAACGAAGUAUCAGUUCAGGUUUGAAUGUUCUCAUGUUUUGCCUCGUUAUAUUUUAGAAUUUCAGGAAAUAGAGGUCAGAUUCUAAUUUAAAUAAGGCCACUGAGUGUUACUUUGACGAUCCUGCAAGAUGCAGUUAAGUUUAAAACUAAUACUUAAGUUUUUCUGGGGUUCGAGUUGAUAUAGUUGAUUCCAUUUUAGUGCACGGUUUGCUUUAAGUGCCUGAGGGGGGCGCUGCUGUGCGUUGCCUUCUGAGUAGGAGCUUGGAGCCUUUUCAGUUGACCUGAGAUGACCCAGGUUCUAGCUUGGAAGAGGAGAGUGGCCCAUUGGAGAAGCAGAGGGAUGAAUGUAAGUCAGGAGACUUGGGUUCUAAUUUCAGCCGUACCACUGACGCCCUAUGACAUUGAGUCAUUUUCUUUGCUGCCUAAGCCUGUGAGCUCAGUUGUCGGCGAAGGUAUGUUGGUUGGACUCCUUUGGUUGUAAACAGAGAAGCCCAAACUGGACUAGCAUGAGCAAGAUGGCAGGAAUCAAGGCGGUGCUGGGCCUGUGGACCUUGUUCCCCUCCCUCACUGAGCCCACUUGGGCUCCUCCUCACGUCCCCUCUGCCCCCCUGUCCUUCUCCAGGCAGGGAGAUUGUGCUGGUGCUGGUUAAUCACCAGAGGGUUUGGAGCAUCUUUGGAAGGCGGUACAUGGUCCGGGCAUGAGCCCUGCCCCACCCCUCCUUCCCGUGGAUGCUCGUCUUCGUAGAUACACAGUAACUGGCAAACACCGUGAGGCACUGUGACUCCGGUAAUAAUUGUCAUCACAGCAGCUGUCGUGAAAUGCACGCCGUGUACCAUGUGUACCACGCGUGGCGCCCAGCACACACGUUCCUUCAUUUAACCCUGACAGCAGCCGCCUUCGUAUUUGCUCUUCCUUCUACCUGGAAACACUGUUCCCUUCAAUUCUUUUCAUGCCUGCUUUCUUACCCUUGAGGUGUUCGUUCAAGUACCCCCUCUUCAGAGAGGUCUUCCCUGGCCAUCCCACCUAAAGCAGGCCUACCACCGCCCCUCACUCUGUCCCCUGGGUUUUGUUGUUCGUGGCAGUUAUUACUACCUGAAGCCGUAUAUUUGUUCAUUGUCUAUUUUUCUUUGUCACAGCUUUGUAGAGGCAGGGACUUUUGUCUUGUUUUUGUUUCACGGUUUUGUGUACUGUGCCGCGUACUUGGCAUAGAUACUGGAGCCUAAGUCAGUCUGAUCUGGGAAUCGGUUGCAGCGGCUGCCGCACCUUUACUGGCGAGGAAACUAAGGCACAGAGAAGUUAAGUGACUUGCUCCUGCCACACAGCUAGGAUGGGCUAGAGCUGUGAUUCACACUCCGAGGCCCGUGUUCUUAACCAGUGGACCAGUCUGUGUCCGGUCAGUUUACAGAAGUUAGCACUUGUCCUCCUUCAGUGGCUCGUGACGAAGGGCGUAUCAGAUAACGUAUGAGAAAGCAACAUGAAAAUUGUAAGGCACCGUAAAAUACAGGUCAGUAUUAAAUGUUUUUUGUCGCCACAGUAUCUGUGUAGUGCUUACCUAGACACCGCGUCCUCGGGUUCUCGAGACGUCACUGUGGUAGAGCGGUGUUAUUUCCGUCUCUGUGUGGCGGUGUGGUCGGGUCCUGAGCCACAUGAUGGUAUGUGGCACAGCCAGGACUUGACCCCGGGGUGUGUGAGAUUAGCCGCGUCUGUGCACAGUGGCUCCUUCCGCAAGCUCCUCGGGGGUCUUCUUGCCCAUGUAGGCGGCCGGCCCUGGGGGAGCCUCUCAGGCCCGAAGCGCCGACCCGNNNNNNNNNNNNNNNNNNNNNNNNNNNNNNNNNNNNNNNNNNNNNNNNNNNNNNNNNNNNNNNNNNNNNNNNNNNNNNNNNNNNNNNNNNNNNNNNNNNNNNNNNNNNNNNNNNNNNNNNNNNNNNNNNNNNNNNNNNNNNNNNNNNNNNNNNNNNNNNNNNNNNNNNNNNNNNNNNNNNNNNNNNNNNNNNNNNNNNNNNNNNNNNNNNNNNNNNNNNNNNNNNNNNNNNNNNNNNNNNNNNNNNNNNNNNNNNNNNNNNNNNNNNNNNNNNNNNNNNNNNNNNNNNNNNNNNNNNNNNNNNNNNNNNNNNNNNNNNNNNNNNNNNNNNNNNNNNNNNNNNNNNNNNNNNNNNNNNNNNNNNNNNNNNNNNNNNNNNNNNNNNNNNNNNNNNNNNNNNNNNNNNNNNNNNNNNNNNNNNNNNNNNNNNNNNNNNNNNNNNNNNNNNNNNNNNNNNNNNNNNNNNNNNNNUUUAAAUUCUGUGCAGUUUGCAUUUUCAUAUACGACCUCCUUCUCCGAUCUCACCAGCAUAGUGAACGCUGUCACGGGUCCCUCUUCCUUCAGCCCCUCUCCUCCUUCCCGCCUCUGCCUCCUGUCCUGGCACCUGAGCAGCCUCUCAUCUGUGUUGGCCGUGUUUUCACUUUCAGUGAUACCUGCCUCCUUCCAGCGUGUUCCCUUGAGCUCUUGUUAAGUCAUUGUUCCCUUUUUGGACAUCCUUUUUUCUUUUUCUUUCCUUUUUUGUUUUUGUUUUUGCUUUUGUUUUUAUGCUUCCUGGUCCUCAUUUCUCUAAGCACGGUCGUCAGAGUAUGUUUCCUUUUGGAGCACAGAUUGUCCCUUGUUGCGUCUGCUGCCGGGUGUGUGCUUCGCUUUUCAUUAUGAGCUGCAUGUUUUUCUCAAGUGUGACGGGCAAAGGUCCGUCUGUCAGUUCCACAGCUUCGGGACUCCCGCACCAAAUGGCACGUACGGCCCAUGGCAGUGCGUACCUGACGUUUCGCUCUUUGGUACAUUUUACUCCCUGUGUAGACGGAGCCUCAGGCCGCAGGAAGCCCUCUUGCGGGUCGGCAGAUUGAGCUUUUCUGCCCCUCUUCUCCUUUAGGGGUCCUGGCAUGACGUGCGCUCACCACCAUCUGCACACGGGCCCGAAGACCCUGGGUGUUACAGCGGGUUCCCCUCCCUGCUCUCCGCUCGCCAGCCCCUGCUCCGCUGACGAUAUUCUUUGUUUUCUUUCUCGAUUCACUGUUUUUGUGAGCUUAGCAGUGGUUAUGUUGGGUUUUUUGGUUUUUUGGGGGUUUUUUUUUUUUUGGUUUUGGUAUAUGUAAUCCAGCAUUUCAGUCUGCCAUGUUGCUAGAGCCAGAAUUCUCUGUUUAUAACCAUGUACAGUAUUUCUCAUGCACUGACAUUUGAGUCCACUGAGCUCAAAGAAAUAAGAAACCAAGACUGUAUUAGACUAUAUAUAGAAGUCUGGUUACUCAAAUCAUCCUGCUUCAUUCAUCCUGACUGAGGUUGGGGGAAUGGGCGUAGAAUUUUGUUGCUUUUGUUUCUAUAUCCUUCUUGGAUUUACUCCAUUCUAUUUAGAUAUUAAGGCUCUCCAAGUGUUAAAAGUACUAAGAGAAAAAAAAAGCAUUAAUAGAUUUAUGUUUACGUGAAAGUUAAAGGAGAUGAUAGAUAGGUAACACAGCAAUCAGCUUAAUAAGGUGGCAAAUUUGAUACACAUCUUGCUUGGCCUAAAUCACAUCCCUGUGUUCCGUUGACAGGUUAACAGCGCAGACCUUGGGCCAGCUCCUCGUGGCUUUGCAAGUUAGCGUUUCCACUAUGGAGACAUCACAUGCAGAGCCUUGGAAAAUAGGCUUUAUAACUAGAACUGUUGAGUGCUUACGCAUCUGUCCCUGUGUGCCAUAUUCUGUCAAGAACAUUGAUGUUCCCUUUGUAUCCUGACCCCGUAGUGGAGCUGAUGAGCCGCUCCACUGUUCGAUGGCGUCCGUGAACUUAGUGCUGGCUUGGCUUCAUGCAGUGAACAUUUUCAUCUGUGAUGAAAUCUGCUAAUGAAGUUAGUCAUUAGUGAAGUUAAUGAAGGACGCCUGUCCUGAAUAUAAGUACCACUUCAGUGAUUUAGGAAAUCCUUAGACUCAGCUCUAGACUGUUUAUCUUCAUUACCAGCAGGACUUACAUCCUGUUUUACAAAGUUUUACAAAGUGAGAAGAAAGGAUUUUUCCUCUGUUUGUUUGUGACUAUAUAAAAAGUUUCAGGGGUACCUGGGUGGCUCCGUCGGUUAAGCGUCUGACUUCGGUUCAGGUCAUGGUCUCAUGGUUUGUGGGUUUGAGCCCCUCGUGGGGCUCUGUGCUGACAGCUCGGAGCCUGGAGCCUGCUUCGGAUUCUGUGUCUCCCUCUGUCUCUGCCCCUCCCCUGCUCACACUCUGUCUCAAAAAUAAAUAAGCAUUUAAAAAAAUUUUUUUUUCUUAAAGUUUCAGUCCUGCUUAAGUUAGCAUAAUUUCUAGGUUGUUGAAAGCUUCCACUCUCCCAACACUGAUUCUGGUUCUUCUUUUUCCUCUUCUUUGAUCUUUAAUGGCAGGCCUCUGUUUAUUAUUAUUACAGUUUGCUCCUGCCUUAAUUUCAGUAUACCCCUGUCAGAUGUCAUAAUCCAGGAAUGUGUUCUCGGAACCGGCUUAUAAUUAUUUCUAGGAAUUUUACUAAACCCUUGAUUUCUAUUUCUGUAGCAACUGAAAUUAACCUUUGAAUUUUACGUGUUGAUGAAGAACCUAUGCUAUCUGUAGCCUGCUUUUCAAACUCACUGUUUCAUUUUGCAUGUGUUGGAUGUAAUGUUAAUUGGUAACAUCAGAUUGUAUUUUUCAGGUGGAAGAUGAGCUCAGCUCUCCAGUAGUGGUGUUCAGAUUUUUCCAGGAAUUACCAGGCUCAGGUAGGUGACUUUAAAAAGCAUAAUUUUUGUAUUUGUAUCUAAGGGCUUUGGAUUUUAAACCAUUUCAAGUUACAUAGAUAGUCCAAAAUAUUUUGACUGCUAAAAUCUGCAGUCAUCAUUUUUUCAGAAAAUGUUAAUGAUUUUCACAAGAAUUCUGGUCCUAAGUGCCUUAAUAGCAUUUUAGUGAUAGUUUCCUGUGAUCAAACCAGUGGUUUCCAAAUGCCAGUCCCUAGACCUAGUGCUAGAAUGAGUGAAGAGAGACCAGGAUGCGUGCACGGGUACACACACACACACACACACACACACACACAAAUAACCUCAUGUUUUCACGCUCAUUUGCCAUCGUGUUUUUAAUGUAUGUUUACACUAUAUUUUAAAUUAUUUAAAACAAACUAUGUUAAGCAUAAAAAAGAAAGAAAAGAAAAUAGAGAUUUGGGGGCUCUACUUCCUAGAUACUUUGAUUCAUGAGGUUGGAUCCAGGAAUCUCUAUUUUUACAGGGUGCCCCCAGCGCCACCAGCCUAGUUCAGGGCACCGUUACUUCUCACCCGGACAGCCGCGGUCCUCGCUCGACUGAUCUGUCACUUCUGUGUACUGCACAUACCCCAUUCCAGCCCAUUCUCUGCAUGCGGUCAGACUGGGCAGUACAUGUGGGAAUCCAUUCGUGCCCUUCCGCUGCCCAGACCCUCAGUUUCUUACUAUUUCUAGUGAAUAAGGUCCAGGCUCAGUACCAGGCCUUGUAAGGCCUAUGGAGUCCAGCCCUUGCCGUCUUCUUUGACUUCCUUUUAGGCCACCUCUCCUCUCGAUCAUUGUGACUUAGACUGGUCUUCUCUGAGUUUCUAGAAUAUUGUGCCUUUUCCUCGAGCAAGACCUUUGCACUUGCUGUUCCCUUUACCUCGAGCACAUUUCCCUUCACUCUUCUUCUGGCUGGCUCCCUAUCACCAUUCAGGUCUCCGUUAGGUGCACCUCCUUAGAGAGGCCUUCCCUGUCCAUGCUAAGGCGACUCCAUCAUGCUGUAUCGGAGUCCCCGCCUUCUUUCAUGGCACCAACAACAAUAUAUGGUGAUUUCAGUUCUUUCUUUAUGGUAUUUCUUCAGUAGAAUGUAAACAGCUAGAUGACACUUCCUUAUACCUGGCGUGCCCAGCACACCGCCUGGCAGGAGUAGGCGCCCUGGCCAUUUGAAAGGAGGAGAAGUCUGUUGUGAGGCCCGCUUGGGGUGCUCUCAGGUGCUCUGACUUCCCUCACAUAGGGGUUGAUAGACUAGCUGGUAACUGACAGUGUUACAUUUUGAUUUCCUCUGGAAGUUCCUUUAAAGAAAAACUUCGCAAAUGAGACUAAGAAUUCUAUUUGUGAGACAGUAUUCAGGUGUUACAUUUUCCCCGAGAAAAAAAACUGUGGAAGCUUAAAUCCCCUCCUGUGGCCGUCUGGGUGGCUCAGUCGGUUAAGCAUCCGACUUCAGCUCAGGUCAUGAUCUCCCGGUUCAUGAGUUCGAGCCCCACAUCCGGCUCUGUACCAACAGCACGGAGCCUGGAGACUGCUUCAUAUUCGGUGUCUCCCUCUCUCUCUGCCACUCCCCUACUCACACUCUGUCUCUCUAAAAAUAAAGCUAAAAAAACCCUUCUGUAAGAUAAACACAUGCAAAAAUUUUUACUUGUGGUAAAAUGUGUACAGUUAAGUAAUGCUGCACAGAUUCACGUGGUUGUUCAGCAGCCCUCCGGAACUUGUACGUCUUGCAAAACUGAAACUCCAUACCCCUUAGACACUCCCCUCCAGCCCCUGGCAGCCACCAUCUAGUUUGUGUCUCUGAGUCUGGCUACCUUAGGGUCCCCAUAGAAGUGGAAUCAUACAGUGUGAGUCUUUGUGUAACUGGCUUAUUUCACUUGAUGUAACGCCCUCACGUUUCAUCUGUAUUGAGCACGGGACAAUUUCCUUCCUUUUUAAGGAUGGACAACACUACACCUGUAUGUACGUACUCAUUUUUUUCUAUCCAUUCCCUGUGACGUCAGCACUUGAUUUCUGUAGUAUUUGAGGCUUUUCUCCCGGGUUAGUGUUGGGAGCUCAGUGAAAGGGGCUUUGAGGAGCGUGUGUGGAGCUGUGUUUCCGGAAGGUGAACCCUCUUUUCUGUGUUUUGGUGUCAGAUCCAGUGCCGACAACUGUCCCGGUGCCUAACAUGUCACCUUCAACGGUCGGCCGGGAGAGACAUUCCUGUGAUGCCCUGAACCGCUGGGUAAGAACGGGGGCCACGUGCUCUCGUCUGCAUCCCAGAUGGAGUGAUGCGUGGACGUGUCUGGGAAGUCGGGCCCGUAGGAAGGAUACUUCUGCAAAGGCACUGGGCUUCCUUCCAGGGUCUCUGAUCACGUCACUGCUCGGCAUGCCGCGCGAAUUCCGGCAGGGCCUUGCAGAAUCAUUCCCUCGGUGACCAUUUCCUUGCUGCUACGUAGUAAGGCCGCAGACUACCCGCACGACGGGGACCGCGGCUGUGGUGGGCGCCUGGAGCGAUGUCAGGAGGCCCGAGAGCCAGAGCCGCCUGACCACCGGGCACCUGACGGUGUGGACCGAACGCAGUGUGCUGUGGCUGCCUCGGGACACUGAAAUUGUACCUCCGGGGUUUUUGUGUCAGGGCGUCCACCACAGCUGUGUCGGUCCUAGCAUAACGGGCUCCUGCCCCGCCUCGGGCUUCAUGAGGAAGUUAGGAUACGUUUGUGCCGUGAUAUCGAAACAGCCGGAAUAAACUGUUUAGCUGGACGUAUACGGCAGGAAGGAAAUGGUCAUCGCAGAUUAUAGGAAAAAAUGCAGGUUACCACACAGCAUGUCGAACAAAACGUUUCGCGGCGACGGAAAAUAUAGAGACAGAACGGGAUGGGUAUAUUACGUGUCAACAGUGGGUAUUCUCACUGGUGCGUUGUGGGUCAUUUUUAUCUUAUUCUUUGGGUUUACCCAUAUUUCCUAGAUUUGCCUACAAUGAACUUCUAUUUUUUAGUAAUUAAAAACAUAAAACUUAGUCUCUUUAAAAAAAAAGUUGCCGUAAGUAAGAGAAUGAGAAGAUUCAGGGAACUUCGCCCCCGGGAGUCUCUUGGGUCUGGGGCUGAGCGCAUGAGGGCCUGUGGGGGGAGCCGGGAGUCCCUUGUCACUCUGCCCGUGUCCCCGCAGCUGGGAGAGCAGCUGAAGCAGCUGGUGCCUGCGAGCGGCCUCACCGUCAUGGACCUGGAAGUGGAGGGUGUGUGCAUUCGGUUCAGCCCCUUGACGACAGCAGCAGGUA
rnacentral:lncRNA from 1 species